rnacentral:rRNA from 1 species
UACGUAGGUGGCAAGCGUUAUACGGAAUUAUUGGGCGUAAAGAGCGCGCAGGUGGUUGAUUAAGUCUGAUGUGAAAGCCCACGGCUUAACCGUGGAGGGUCAUUGGAAACUGGUCGACUUGAGUGCAGAAGAGGGAAGUGGAAUUCCAUGUGUAGCGGUGAAAUGCGUAGAGAUAUGGAGGAACACCAGUGGCGAAGGCGGCUUCCUGGUCUGUAACUGACACUGAGGCACGAAAGCGUGGGGAGCAAACAGGAUUAGAUA